GUGAGGGAAUGGUGAAAAGUACCCCGGGAGGGGAGUGAAAUAGUACCUGAAACCGGGCGCUUACAAGCCGUCAAAGCCCUUUAAGGGGUGAUGGCGUGCCUAUUGAAGAAUGAGCCUGCGAGUUAGUGGCGUGUCGCGAGGUUAACCCGUGUGGGGUAUCCGUAGCGAAAGCGAGUCUGAAAGGGCGGUUAGUGGCACGUUCUAGACCCGAAGCGGGGUGAUCUACCCAUGGCCAGGUUGAAGCACGUGUAAGAGCGUGUGGAGGACCGAACCCACCUAGGUUGAAAACUGGGGGGAUGAGCUGUGGAUAGGGGUGAAAGGCCAAUCAAACUCUGUGAUAGCUGGUUCUCCCCGAAAUGCAUUUAGGUGCAGCGUUACAUGUUUCUUGCUGGAGGUAGAGCUACUGGAUGGCCGAUGGGCCCGCGAGGGUUACUGACGUUAGCUAAACUCCGAAUGCCGGUAAGUGAGAGUGUAGCAGUGAGACAGUGGGGGAUAAGCUUCAUUGUCGAGAGGGAAACAGCCCAGACCAUCAACUAAGGCCCCUAAGCGUGUGCUAAGUGGGAAAGGAUGUGGAGUUGCUGAGACAACCAGGAGGUUGGCUUAGAAGCAGCCAUCCUUGAAAGAGUGCGUAAUAGCUCACUGGUCAAGUGAUUCUGCGCCGAUAAUGUAGCGGGGCUCAAGUACACCGCCGAAGUUGUGGCAAUCAGUCUUUGUGGCUGGUUGGGUAGGGGAGCGUCCUGCACGAGGUGAAGCUGCCACGGGAGUGUGUGGUGGAUUGUGUGGGAGUGAGAAUGCAGGCAUGAGUAGCGAAUCACGGGUGAGAAACCCGUGCGCCGGAUGAUCAAGGGUUCCAGGGUCAAGUUAAUCUGCCCUGGGUUAGUCGGGGCCUAAGGCGAGGCCGACAGGCGUAGUCGAUGGAGAACGGGUUGAUAUUCCCGUACCAGUGAAGGACCGUCCAUACUGAUAUUGUGAUGCUAACCAUGCCGAUCACGGUGUCAUGAAGUUUUUCUUUGUGGUGUUGUGGGGUGUGUGGGACCCAAGCUUUGGAGGUAAGCGUGUUAACAGGUGUGACGCAGGAAGGUAGCCAAGCCACGCGGUGGUUGUCGUGGUCUAAGCGUGUAGGAUGACUGGUUGUUAAAUGCGCCGGUUGUGUGUCUGAGACGUGAUGGGACCCCUUGUUUGUGGGGGAUUUGGUGAUCCUAUGCUGCCGAGAAAAGCAUCGGCGUGAGGUUUUAGCUGCCCGUACCCGAAACCGACACAGGUGAUCAGGUAGAGAAUACUAAGGCGAUCGAGAGAAUCAUGGUUAAGGAACUCGGCAAAAUGCCCCCGUAACUUCGGGAGAAGGGGGGCCCUGAGCGUGAUCUGCCCGUGCGGUGGGGAGCGUGUAGGGGUCGCAGAGACCAGGGGGAAGCGACUGUUUAUCAAAAACACAGGUCCGUGCGAAGUCGUAAGACGAGGUAUACGGACUGACUCCUGCCCGGUGCUGGAAGGUUAAGAGGAUUGGUUAGCCCUGUGUGGGCGAAGCUGAGAAUUUAAGCCCCAGUAAACGGCGGUGGUAACUAUAACCAUCCUAAGGUAGCGAAAUUCCUUGUCGGGUAAGUUCCGACCUGCACGAAUGGAGUAACGACUUCCCUACUGUCUCAACCAUGAACUCGGUGAAAUUGCAGUACGAGUAAAGAUGCUCGUUUCGCGCAGCAGGACGGAAAGACCCCGUGACCUUUACUAUAGUUUGGUAUUGGUGUUUGGGUUGGCUUGUGUAGGAUAGGUGGGAGACUGUGAAGCUGUCACGCUAGUGGUGGUGGAGUCGUUGUUGAAAUACCACUCUGGUCAAUCUGGAUGUCUAACUUCGGGCCAUGAUCUGGUUCAGGGACAGUGCCUGAUGGGUAGUUUAACUGGGGCGGUUGCCUCCUAAAGUGUAACGGAGGCGCCCAAAGGUUCCCUCAGCCUGGUUGGCAAUCAGGUGUUGAGUGUAAGUGCACAAGGGAGCUUGACUGUGAGAGUGGCGACUCGAGCAGGGACGAAAGUCGGGACUAGUGAUCCGGCAGUGGCUUGUGGAAGCGCUGUCGCUCAACGGAUAAAAGGUACCUCGGGGAUAACAGGCUGAUCUUGCCCAAGAGUCCAUAUCGACGGCAUGGUUUGGCACCUCGAUGUCGGCUCGUCGCAUCCUGGGGCUGGAGUCGGUCCCAAGGGUUGGGCUGUUCGCCCAUUAAAGCGGUACGCGAGCUGGGUUCAGAACGUCGUGAGACAGUUCGGUCCCUAUCCGCUGCGCGCGUUGGAGAAUUGAGAAAGGCUGUCCUUAGUACGAGAGGACCGGGACGGACGAACCUCUGGUAUGUCAGUUGUACCGCCAGGUGCAUGGCUGAUUGGCUACGUUCGGGAGGGAUAACCGCUGAAGGCAUCUAAGCGGGAAGCCUGUUUCGAGAUGAGUUCUCCUGGCACUCUUUGU
rnacentral:rRNA from 1 species